rnacentral:rRNA from 1 species
CCUACGGGAGGCAGCAGUUGGGAAUUUUGGGCAAUGGGCGAAAGCCUGAUCCAGCCAUGCCGCGUGUGUGAAGAAGGUCUUCGGAUUGUAAAGCACUUUAAGUUGGGAGGAAGGGCAGUUACCUAAUACGUGAUUGUUUUGACGUUACCGACAGAAUAAGCACCGGCUAACUCUGUGCCAGCAGCCG